rnacentral:lncRNA from 1 species
AAAAAUAAUUUUCUGCCCUAGUGAGCAGCACUGUGAGAUUCUUGUGGUGUUUCUUUCUUUGUUGCCUGUGUCUUUGUUAUUUGGACACUGCUAUUAUCCAUUUUGUUCUCUGCUGCCUACUGUUGUAAUCAUGAGUGGUACCAAAUUAGUUUCUGUCACUACUGAUAUCAUUCCGGCAAUGACGAAAAUUACGGAUCAA